CACGUACGUGCGUACAUAUCCGGCCGCCUACUCAUACCAUGCUGGAGGAUAGGAGAUCGACGACCGGACCACGGACCACGAGUACUUGACGAGCGUGGUGGAGUAAAAACUAGGCCUACUUUCCCGGUAAAAAGACGGGUCUUUUGCUAGCUGUGAUCUAUGGGAUUGCUUUGCCGUGCAAGAUAAUUUCAGUAUCCAGCAGUAAAAUAAUUUGUCUGCUGCAGCACAAUGGAAGCCGGCCCAGUGUUGUCCUCCUGGAGGUCGUUUAUGCUGCUGCAAGUUUGCCUCGUCGUUUUGCUGCUGAUCAUCGC